UGGGGAAUUUUGGACAAUGGGCGAAAGCCUGAUCCAGCAAUGCCGCGUGCAGGAAGAAGGCCUUCGGGUUGUAAACUGCUUUUGUACGGAACGAAAAGGCUCUUUCUAAUAAAGAGGGCCCAUGACGGUACCGUAAGAAUAAGCACCGGCUAACUACGUGCCAGCAGCCGCGGUAAUACGUAGGGUGCGAGCAUUAAUCGGAAUUACUGGGCGUAAAGCGUGCGCAGGCGGUUCUAUAAGACAGAUGUGAAAUCCCCGGGCUCAACCUGGGAAUGGCAUUUGUGACUGUAGAGCUAGAGUACGGUAGAGGGGGAUGGAAUUCCGCGUGUAGCAGUGAAAUGCGUAGAUAUGCGGAGGAACACCGAUGGCGAAGGCAAUCCCCUGGACCUGUACUGACGCUCAUGCACGAAAGCGUGGGGAGCAAACAGGAUUAGAUACCCGUGUAGUCCCUGAGCGGGCUGGCAAGGCGCAU
rnacentral:rRNA from 1 species